rnacentral:rRNA from 1 species
UGGGGAAUAUUGCGCAAUGGGCGAAAGCCUGACGCAGCAACGCCGCGUGAGCGAUGAAGGCCCUCGGGUUGUAAAGCUCUGUUGGAAGGAAAGAUGGGUUUAAGAGUUAAUACCUCUUAGAUUUGACGGUACCUUCAAAGAAAGCACCGGCUAACUCUGUGCCAGCAGCCGCGGUAAUACAGAGGGUGCAAGCGUUGUUCGGAAUCAUUGGGCGUAAAGCGCGCGUAGGCGGCCAAAUAAGUCUGAUGUGAAAGCCCAGGGCUCAACCCUGGAAGUGCAUCGGAAACUGUUUGGCUCGAGUCCCGGAGGGGGUGGUGGAAUUCCUGGUGUAGAGGUGAAAUUCGUAGAUAUCAGGAGGAACACCGGUGGCGAAGGCGACCACCUGGACGGUGACUGACGCUGAGGUGCGAAAGCAUGGGUAGCAAACAGG